AACCCAUGAUGAGGACAAUCUCUGAGAUAUUCCUUGAAUCGUGUCCAACCUUCAUGAAAACGCUCUCUUUCGCCUUGAUGGAAUGUGGUGAUCUUGUUCCUGAGCAA
rnacentral:snoRNA from 1 species